rnacentral:rRNA from 1 species
UACGUAGGGCGCGAGCGUUGUCCGGAUUUACUGGGCGUAAAGGGCGCGUAGGCGGCGCAACAAGUCACUUGUGAAAUCUCCGGGCUUAACCCGGAGCGGUCAAGUGAUACUGUCGUGCUAGAGUGCGGAAGGGGCUACUGGAAUUCUCGGUGUAGCGGUGAAAUGCGUAGAUAUCGAGAGGAACACCUGCGGCGAAGGCGGGUAGCUGGGCCGACACUGACGCUGAUGCGCGAAAGCCAGGGAGGCGAACGGG